GAUGAACGCUGGCGGCGUGCUUAACACAUGCAAGUCGAACGGGAAAUAUUUCAUUGAGACUUUGGUGGAUUUGAUCUAUUUCUAGUGGCGGACGGGUGAGUAACGCGUGGGUAACCUGCCUUAUACAGGGGGAUAACAGUCAGAAAUGGCUGCUAAUACCGCAUAAGCGCACAGAGCUGCAUGGCUCAGUGUGAGAAACUCCGGUGGUAUAAGAUGGACCCGCGUUGGAUUAGCUUGUUGGUGGGGUAACGGCCCACCAAGGCGACGAUCCAUAGCCGGCCUGAGAGGGUGAACGGCCACAUUGGGACUGAGACACGGCCCAGACUCCUACGGGAGGCAGCAGUGGGGAAUAUUGCACAAUGGGGGAAACCCUGAUGCAGCGACGCCGCGUGAAGGAAGAAGUAUCUCGGUAUGUAAACUUCUAUCAGCAGGGAAGAUAGUGACGGUACCUGACUAAGAAGCCCCGGCUAACUACGUGCCAGCCGCCGCAGUAA
rnacentral:rRNA from 1 species